GUCUUUAAGAUAAUUUUUUUAAGUCCUGUCUGCUCACUGAAGUUUAAAGAGCCGCAGUAUUUUGACUGUGCAAAGGUAGCAUAAUCAAUAGUUUUUUAAUUGAAAACUGGAAUGAAAGAUAAGACGAGAAAUUGACUUUCUUUAUCUUAAAAAAUUGAAUUUAAAAUUUAAGUUAAAAUUCUUAAAUAUAAAUGAAAGACGAGAAGACCCUAUAGAUUUUUAUUUUAAAUUAAAUAUAUUAAAAGAAAUAUUUAGUAAAAAUUUAAUUGGGGCGAUUUUGUAACAAAAAUAACUUAAUUUUAUAAAACCAUAAAUUAUUGAAUUUUUUGAUCUGAAAAUUUCAAAUAAAAGAUUAAAUUACCUUAGGGAUAACAGCGUAAUUUUAUUUAAGAGUUCAUAUCUAUAAUAAAGAUUGCGACCUCGAUGUUGAAUUAAGAAAUACAUUGGAGCAGAAAUUAAUGUUAAUAAGUCUGUUCGACUAUUAAAUUCU
rnacentral:rRNA from 1 species